GCACAAGGAGAGGUAAACAGACAUGGUGAAACCCACACGUAGCACUACAGCGCCACACAGCAUCAGCACAGCGUCACACAACAGGAGUAACUCUGUCUGUUUAGAUGAGCGUUUAAACAAAGAAGAAGAUGUCUUGUGGGAUAGUCAAUGUGAACCACGGUCACUCAUCAGGGCUCCUCUGGGUUCGUCUGUGUUCCUACCGUGCAACAUAUCAACAAGUAGCCAAAACUGGGUGACAUGGACCCACAAUGACGAGGCAGACCUGGCAAAGCUCUACUUUGACGGGCGCGUCAACUUCCUGGACCCCAGAGAUGGCAGAGUGAAAGCUUUUCCAAACCAGAUCUUAGGGAGGGACUUCUCCAUCCGCAUCGAUGAGCUUUACACCUCUGACCUGGGCAACUAUUACUGCAUACAGGGAGAUUACUGUCAAAAAGUGGAGUUGUGUGCUGACAGUCCACAGAGCAAACAGAUGAGGCUACUGAUUGUCAUCAGUGUUGCUGCUCUCAGUUUUCUGAGUGUUGGUGGAUACUACUUCUGCAAGAGACGCAUAGCAGUUGCCAGAGCUCCACUGAGGGAACAUGCAGUAGUACAUGAACAGCAGACAGUAUCAACCAUCUAUGCCUGACUUAAGACAAACAACCAGCAGAUUUCCCUCCCUCUGCUCUGGAUCUGAAAUUCACACAUUUGAGGACCAUCAAGCUGGUACCAGGGUUUCCCUUUAAUCAACAGAUGUCCUCCGAGGCUGACACAGCAACCAACCUGCAGCACCGCCUUCCAAAACAGUGGAUUCAUGUUUUAAAGAGGCCAAAAAGUUACAUUUUCAACCAAUGGACAAAUAAUAUGUAUUAAAAUAACAUAUUCUGGGGGGAAAAAAAUAUAAAAAAUAAAUACAGUGAAGAAAUACUAUCAAAAAAGGUUUAAAAACUACUAAUAUCUGUAAAGGUGUGUUUUUUUAAGCAGGUUUAUAUACAGUAAAACAACGUAAUUCCUCAUAUUACAGAAGAACACAUUUUCAUUUGUAAUAAUGCAAAUUUUUGAUGAAGAUAUUGUGUAAAAUUUUGGCCAGUUUUCUGUCUGCUUGGAUGUUUGUUUAUAAUCAGAAAUUAAAUUGAUUUUUUUUCCUUUCUGUGAUUUUACUGGAUAUUAUCUGCAAUUUAACAACACAAGCCAGUUCUGUUCAAUAACAGUUCUAAAAAAAAGGUAUUACUUUAGACCCAACUGUACAGCAAACAUCUGUAAAAUUAUGACAUAUUUUGUUGAUUUAGAUACAGUAGAAAUUGUGUAAUUUUACAACCAAAUGUAAAAGAACAAAUUACCAUGUGCAAAAAUAAAACUUUUG